GGGGGUAGAGUUCAGUGGUACAGUGCGUGCUUGGCAUGCAUGAGGUCCUGGGUUCAAUCCCCAGUGCCUCUG
rnacentral:tRNA from 1 species